UACGGAGGGGGCUAGCGUUGUUCGGAAUCACUGGGCGUAAAGCGCACGUAGGCGGACUCUUAAGUCGGUGGUGAAAUCCUGGAGCUCAACUCCAGAACUGCCUCCGAUACUGGGAGCCUUCGAGUCCGGGAGAGGUGAGUGGAACUGCGAGUGUAGAGGUGAAAUUCGUAGAUAUUCGCAAGAACACCAGUGGCGAAGGCGGCUUACUGGUCCGGUUCUGACGCUGAGGUGCGAAAGCGUGGGGAGCAAACAGG
rnacentral:rRNA from 1 species